rnacentral:rRNA from 1 species
CCUACGGGAGGCAGCAGUGAGGAAUAUUGGUCAAUGGGCGAGAGCCUGAACCAGCCAAGUCGCGUGAGGGAGUACUGCCCUAUGGGUUGUAAACCUCUUUUGUCGGGGAGCAAAAGCCGGACGUGUCCGGCUGUGAGAGUACCCGAAGAAAAAGCAUCGGCUAACUCCGUGCCAGCAGCCGCGGUAAUACGGAGGAUGCGAGCGUUAUCCGGAUGUAUUGGGGUUAAAGGGUGCGCAGGCGGAUUUUUAAGUCAGCGGUCAAAUCGUGGGGCUCAACCCCAUCCAGCCGUUGAAACUGGGGAUCUAGAGUGUGCGAGAGGUAUGCGGAAUGCGUGGUGUAGCGGUGAAAUGCAUAGAUAUCACGCAGAACCCCGAUUGCGAAGGCAGCAUACCGGUGCACAACUGACGCUCAGGCACGAAAGCGUGGGUAUCGAACAGGAUUAGAUACCCCUGUAGUC